rnacentral:rRNA from 1 species
GUGCCAGCAGCCGCGGUAAUACGUAGGGUGCAAGCGUUGUCCGGAAUUAUUGGGCGUAAAGAGCUCGUAGGCGGUCUGUCGCGUCGGAUGUGAAAACCCGGGGCUUAACCCCGGGCCUGCAUUCGAUACGGGCAGACUCGAGUGUGGUAGGGGAGACUGGAACUCCUGGUGUAGCGGUGAAAUGCGCAGAUAUCAGGAAGAACACCGGUGGCGAAGGCGGGUCUCUGGGCCACUACUGACGCUGAGGAGCGAAAGCGUGGGGAGCAAACAGGAUUAGAUACCCUAGUAGUCC